UAACGGGCAGCACUGACUGGCUUAAGUCUAAAUUACAUGUCCUUUUUUCUAGGUUUGGGCAGAAGCUCUCAAAUUGAUGGGUGCAGGAGCAUAGCUCAUCCAAUGAAAAUAAGAACUAUAGUUGGGAGAAAUAUUGAAAAGUACCAUGUUACUCAGCAAUACCAAUGGAGAGAUAUGUCAUCAAAUUCAAGUAGAUGUCAGAUUCCCAUGAAAUAUACAUUUGAAAUUGUCAUCCUGGAGUCAUUUUUAACAUUAAAGUCGAGAAGUCAAAGGUUUGGACACAGCUGGCUUUGCCUGUGA
rnacentral:lncRNA from 1 species